rnacentral:lncRNA from 1 species
AUGCAAACCGUGCCAGGCAAAAUCUACUGCCUCGCUGCGGUUAGGCACAGCCGGGGUGGGAAGGCUGCCGGCUCGCCGGUCGGUGCUCGGAGCAGCGGCCUCGAUGCAGCCGGGCUGCGGGGCUGCAGCAGUGCAAAGGGGGGACGAGGGGCUAACGGCGCUGCCACCAGCCCUUCCCGGGCUUGUAAGGUUCAGCAGCUGGCUCCAGAGUUCAGAGAGGUUCGUGCUCCCAGCCAAAUUCCCCACAGGUGCCGUCUGAAACGAUUCUGCCUACCUCAACACUUUCACUGGAUCUCUGUGCGCCUCCUGGCUUUGCUGAGGAGACGCAGACACAAAAUGGACCUCCUACGGUAGGAAGUGAAUGAUAGGCUCGGCUGUUGAUGAAAAAGCAAGCCUGGCUUCCAUCUCUCUUCAAUUAGAGACCUCUUUUAAAAAGUUCAGCAGCAAAGGAAAAAGAGAAAAGGAAAAAGGAAAGGAAAGAACAGAAAGGAAAAGAGAGAAAAGGAAAAGGAAAGGAAAAACUGCAUCAGAAAGACACAGAAGAAAAAGUUGAAAGCUGCUUCACAGUCUUGCUGCUAAAUAUCAGUGCAGUCAUUUUUUUUUCCUUAAUUAAACACUAAGUUUCUUUGCCAUUAUUAUCCUGUUUAUUUUCCCUUUUUUUUUUUUUUUUUCUUUUAAAACGUGCAUGAUGG